GUCCUUUUGGCGCAGUAGAAAGCGUGUAAGAACUUCUAAUCUAAAGGUCAUGGGUUCGAUUCCCACAAGGGAUG